CCAUGUUACAAGGCAACCCCCCCCCCCUCAUGCGACGCGGGCUCCCCGCGUCGCUACAUUCAUUCGACGUCGCUACAUUCACUCUACGGCGUUGCCCCUAGCAACCGUGGGCGAUCAAUAGCUGUGUAUCCAUGAGUAUCCGCGUAUGUAUGUGUAUCGGUAUGUGUACCUAUGUGUAUCUACGCUAGCAUUCUAUAAUUGAGUUACCACCAUGAGUGCAUGGCCGGCAUUCUGUAAUUGAGUUACAGUGGCAAGUGCCGCUAAGUGACCUAUCACUUAGAAGGCACGUGACCAAUUAGCCGGCGCAGUAGUAAGGGAUAGCGAAUCCUCGGAGGAGUCCAAUAAUGCAGUUAGCGGGUCUCUUUGAGGUCCGAGAGGAUCCUCGAAGGGGCCCGGUAAUGGGAUUAGCGGACGCCUUUGAAGUCCGAGAGGAUCCUCCGAGGAGUUCAAUAAUACAAUUAUCUCGAGCCCAAGAGCUCGGAAGGAUGGACGGCGCAUGCGGGGCGCAUGCGUGGUUCGCGGUCGUGCCCGCGUAUAUAAGGCGGAGCACAAGGAAAGUCGGGGAAUGCUCGCCCAGCUCUAGACGCGACCGCCUGUGUAUUGUAACAGUGAAUCAAUAGUGAAUCUAAAUUAAACAACAUCAGUCAUGGUAUAUAUUCUUUGACUUGUCUCUUACCUAUGUCUUUUGGCUACGAGUACGACAUCACUAUAUACAACUA